GUGCUCAUUUCGAAAGCACAUAUACUAAAUUUGGAAUGACCAGAGAUUAGCAUGGCUCCUGUGCAAGAAUGACACACAAAUUCGUGAAGAGUUCCACAUUAAA
ensembl:snRNA U6 U6 spliceosomal RNA